CAGACACCUAGCUAACGCCAUGUUUCUCACUGUAACUUGUGUGUCAUUGUUGUGGUUAGUUGGGCAGGGAGUUGCCCAAAAUGCAACAUGUGACAGGGCCGAAACCGCCUGUUCAUGUACAAUGAGUGAUGGUUCAGGGACCAUUAACUUACAAUAUGUGGAGACUGGUAAACCAACGUACAAAGACCAAGUGGCGGCUGUUCAAAAGGAUGACUACCUCUACUCGUGGAACCCGUGCACUCCGUUUACUGAGGGCCCCGCUGGCGAUCAGGACUCCUGCACCGACGCGGCGGCAUGUCAGAUUUCCAAGGAUCAGUCGAACUUUUUCGGUCUCGGCACGCACGACUCGGCACAGUUUGCGGCGGACACAGAUCCAGACAGCGGCGGUUUGGUAGUGAGUGUUGUCUACCAGGCAGCCUCGUCAGGAAGGGCAUCAGAGGUGCUGCUGAAAUGCACCACGGGAGCAACCGUCUUCACGGUACUUGGCGAGCUUCAGCAGGGACAAUACAUAUUCCAGCUGGAGAGCCCGUGUUGCUGUCCGGGGGCGGUGUCAGGCUGUGCUGGUGGCGGGAUCAGCGGAGGAUCCAUCGUCCUCAUCAUUGCCGCCUCAGUGAUCGUGGUGUACUUUGUUGGCGGGAUGAUCGUCAUGAAGUUUGUGAAGGGAGCCCAGGGGCUGGAAAUCAUCCCUAACUCGGGUUUUUGGACCGGUCUACCGGGAUACAUCAAGGAGGGUGUGUUGUUUAUCGUGUCACCUUGCCGAAAGUCGGGAAAGUACGAUUCAAUCUAACCUCGGAGAAAACAAAUCUUCCCACACUUUUUAUCAAGUUUUUAUUCUACUUGGAAAUCUAUGGGUGCCCUUUAUACUGACAUUCAUAAGUCAGUUGUGACAAAAACAUUGACAAAGCUGCAGAAUACAAGCACAUUAACAGUCAUACUCAUUAGGGAUAGUAAAAAGAUGACACGCAAUUACUAUAUACACUUUAACAUUCUAUGAAUGUUGUUAAGAAUCGCUUCAGCAAGAGCAUCCCUAGCCUCGUCUACAGAACUCAAGAGCAAGCGAAACCGAGACAUAAUAGCAUGUUGUAUUACUAUCAAGCCAAGAGUUGCAGAGACCACGUUGCUACUUCUCAAAAUGAAAGUAUUCUAAUAUACGUUUUCUCUCAAUGAGUCUUCUAUCGAUGACUGGAAAAGAAACGAAAUAAUGAUAUUGAAAGGGCGCCAGAUUUCAAUUAUAUAAAUGUCUGUUUAUGAGGUUAUUUUAAAAAGUCGUCUCUUUAGAUGUAGUUGUUCUGAUAAAUAAUUGCUGGUUUUUAUCUGUAUUGCGAUUUGAACGAUUUUAGAUAUUUUAAGCGAAUCGAUAUUGCCUGCCAACUUGUACACGAGUCUGUCAAUUCAGCCUUUUGGCUGCCGGCCCCAUUUGACUUGUAUGUCUUUGAUUUUAAUAAUAAACCAGUAUACUAAAUUACAAACGAUAUCGGUCCCUUGUAGGUGUAGGUGGUCUCGUGAUCUCUCUCUCGUGACCUCUUUGAUAUUUGCUUGCCUACCUCUUUGUUUGAUUGACACAAAUAUAUCUAGGGCAGCCAAAUCGCCGACCUUUGUUCAUAAUGUCUAACAUUCGUGCGGACAUGUUAGUUAAAUGGGUCACCUGUAAUUACUUUAUGGUAAAAAUAAUGUAUUUAGCAAAAUCAUUAUACACUUGAUACUAUUUUAUACCAUUGAAUUUAUACUAUUCAUAUAUCAACCGUUUGAAUUUGUGAAAGAAAACCACUAAAUUAUAACUUUCUGAUGAAUAAAAGUAAAAUUUCCCUUGUGUAUCCACUGAGUUGGUUUGGCCCUUUUGCAAAAUGGCGUCACCCACUGUGCACAGAAAACUUCAUGUUGUAAUUGGUAUCCUAGUUCUAUACCAUGUAAAUGCGUGCUUUGGGCAGACAACUGUUUGUGAGUCAAUAGACUCUUGCUCUUGUACUAUGAGUGACGGAUCAGGGGUGGUCAACCUGCGGCCUUUGGUGUCAGGAACACCGACGUACAAGGACUACAUUGCCACACAAACCACCGAUGACUACCUGUACUCAUGGAACCCCUGUGCACCCUUUUCUGAGGUAGGAUCAGGCGAU